GACGGAGGGGGCAAGCGUUGUUCGGAAUUAUUGGGCGUAAAGAGCUCGUAGGCGGUUUGUCGCGUCUGCCGUGAAAGUCCGGGGCUCAACUCCGGAUCUGCGGUGGGUACGGGCAGACUAGAGUGAUGUAGGGGAGACUGGAAUUCCUGGUGUAGCGGUGAAAUGCGCAGAUAUCAGGAGGAACACCGAUGGCGAAGGCAGGUCUCUGGGCAUUAACUGACGCUGAGGAGCGAAAGCAUGGGGAGCGAACAGG
rnacentral:rRNA from 1 species